UACGUAGGGUGCAAGCGUUAUCCGGAAUUAUUGGGCGUAAAGAGCUCGUAGGCGGUUUGUCGCGUCUGCUGUGAAAAUCCAGGGCUUAACCCUGGACCUGCAGUGGGUACGGGCAGACUGGAGUGCGGUAGGGGAGAUCGGAAUUCCUGGUGUAGCGGUGAAAUGCGCAGAUAUCAGGAGGAACACCGGUGGCGAAGGCGGAUCUCUGGGCCGUAACUGACGCUGAGGAGCGAAAGCAUGGGGAGCGAACAGG
rnacentral:rRNA from 1 species